UACGUAGGGUGCAAGCGUUAAUCGGAAUUACUGGGCGUAAAGCGUGCGCAGGCGGUUUUGUAAGUCUGUUGUGAAAUCCCCGGGCUCAACCUGGGAAUGGCAAUGGAGACUGCAAGGCUAGAGUUUGGCAGAGGGGUGUAGAAUUCCACGUGUAGCAGUGAAAUGCGUAGAUAUGUGGAGGAACACCGAUGGCGAAGGCAAUCCCCUGGACCUGUACUGACGCUCAUGCACGAAAGCGUGGGGAGCAAACAGG
rnacentral:rRNA from 1 species